rnacentral:lncRNA from 1 species
UAACAUGGAGUGUCUUGGUUGUCAAUGAACUUUGCUCAUUUAUGAGAAGGUGGUUACAAUAACUCCAGUUGAAACACACAAGAGGGGACAUCAUCACUGUUGCCUGCAUUCCUUGACUGCCACCCCCCACAGAUGGCCUCACCUUGUGGAGACAAGCAUUGGCAAUGUGGGGGCAGGGCCAACUCUGAGGCCUCUGCUGGAAUUCUCAACUCUUGCAGCUCAGGGGGAUAUCUGGAAGCAAGCCCAUGGCCAUGAGGACGGUCACUCAACUUUAGUUCAAGGACUGGGCAUAAAACUCCAGUUUUUCAUUGUAAGAAGCUCACAGUUUCCUGGAGGGGAAGCCCUCUCUGUGUGCCUCGCUUUGUGUGAGCACAGUGACUUGCCGAGACGUUUCAAAAAAGGAAAAGCUACUGCACCUAGAGGGAAAUGACUUCCAUACCAACCGCCUUCAGCCAUAAUCAUUUGGACUGGGAAAGCUGGAUCCGGUCCAUAUUUACAUUUCAGAAAGAGGUGUGAAAGAGGACGCCAAGACUGAGCUGCCUCCCAUCUCCCGGACUCCACGUCCAGUCUUAUCGAGGCUGCAGGGGGAUCGUCUUAUUUCGAAACUACAGAAGGGAAACAGGCGACAGAAACAAAGGGCUGCUGUGUUUUGGCAAAGGGGGGGGGGGAGUGUUUUCUGUGUUUUGGGUGUUUUUGGAAAGCUCUGAAAUCCUGAAGUCAUACAUCUCCCAGGGCUGGAGGAACAUUUCUUCAGACAUCGCUGGCACCUGGCAUCUCUGAGAGCCGUUAACGCUGCUGUAUCUUCAGGGAGAUGAUGAACAUUUGUUUUUGUUUUUGUUUUGUUUUGUUUUCCCCCCUCAGAGUUCUUUGUGAAACGACCAGUCCUGGAACAAAUAAUUUGCCUUCCUUCUUAAACUCCUCACCUGGGUCUCUACCAUGGCGCUUUCGCGAAGACGAAGUUACUUUCCAUUGUUUUUAGGAAAGGCUUUAUUAUCUCCUAUGGCAAGUCCAUGGGCAAGCGGGGUCCCGCAGGAUUGAGUUCCAGCUGCUGUGAUUUGAUCGGUCGUCUGAACUUGCUCAGAUUAUGGUAGAAACAGCUCUGUGGGGACAGAGUCAUUUACUUCAUGGUAGAACACAAGCUCUAUUCAGAAUUUAAAAACUAGCAAACGUUUCACAAGUCACUCUUUUUUCUUCCACAUCAACAUUGUAAUCUCAUUUUAACACAAUGAGAGUGAAGACCUCUGAACACAGGUCUUCCUGCCUGCGAAGACUAUGUAAGUCCAUCUCUGCCAGUGCACAAAUUUUAUUAUAUAAAUUCAACCUGAAGAAACAUGUUUGGCAACAUGGAUGGAACAUUCUGUGUCCAUGUAUUUACUCAUAUCAGAGUCCCAUGUAAGUUCUAAACCAUGUCUGUAGGGACAGGGUUGUGAUGGUACACUGUGUUGAGAAAGGUAUUUUCCAGAUUUGGUCAAUUAACAGGACUUUGGUCCAGCCAAUUCAUUCAUCCUAGUUACUAUGAAGUUUGUUUCUCAUUGUCACAGCCUAGUGUUCUGAUCCUAAAAGCACGUUUAUGGACAAGCAGGCGGUGCCCAAAGGCUUCUAGAAAUGCAGAAACUUGCUCCCAAAAAUGACAUUCUGAAUCAAGUGCCCGUGUUCAUGGUCUCUGCAGUAUAUUUGAAUAGCAAUGGCCAUUCCAGUGAACCCUAAAGUCCUUUGGUCAUUUUCAUGUUGGAAAGCUUUGGGAAUCUUUAUGCAUUUUCAUGGUCAGGAGAAAACUACACAAUGUGGUGAUAUCCUGGCAGUUAUAAUGUCUUUCUGCUUUCUUCUGACUUUUGAGGAAUAUGCUUUUGACAUAAUCUGACACAUUGUCAUCAUUGUCGUCAUCAUCAUCAUCACUAUCAUUAUUGAGAGGUCUUUUAAUAGACUUUAGGCUGUCCUGGAACUCACUAGUGAGCUAAGGCUGGCCUCAAAUUCACCAUCCUACUAGCUGGCUUUCUCAUUGGAAGUUGACUGGGAUUACAUUCCUGGGAUACCACACAUAGCUUCAUAAUUUCUGAAGAGAACUCAAAGAGAACUCUCUGGAAGACUAUGCAAACACUUUGGACAACUGCAAUUAACUAACUUUAUACAUAAAGGAGAAUACUUACGUGUCACUGCAAAUCUGAAAUAAUAAAACAUAACCAUGGUCAGUACUCA